rnacentral:rRNA from 1 species
GACAGAGGGUGCAAACGUUGCUCGGAAUCACUGGGCGUAAAGGGCGUGUAGGCGGGAAGGAAAGUCAGAUGUGAAAUCCCCAGGCUCAACCUGGGAACUGCAUUUGAAACUCCCUUUCUUGAGUACCGGAGAGGAAAGAGGAAUUCCUGGUGUAGAGGUGAAAUUCGUAGAUAUCAGGAGGAACACCAGUGGCGAAGGCGGCUUUCUGGACGGUAACUGACGCUGAGACGCGAAAGCGUGGGGAGCAAACAGG